AGCAUGAAGAAGGAAACGCAAACCAUGUUCCACACUCUCUUAGCUAUUUCUGGCAUGUUGCUCUCCAUUUCUAUAAUACUGAAGCAAAGUACAGUAUUAUAUAAAU